UAAUUCACAAAAUUAUAUUUUGUUCAACUUUUAUAAUGACUUGAUCCGUAUGAGAGUAUUAGAACUUGACAACUUUCAAACAAAUAUUACUAAAAAUUUGAGAGAAGGUUUAUUUUUGAAGAAGCUAAAAUAAUUUUCAUUCUUCUCUGCUUUAAUUCUUACAAUGAAAUCCUCUUAUAUAGUUUUGAGGAGUUUAUAAAAAUAACACAC
rnacentral:lncRNA from 1 species